rnacentral:lncRNA from 1 species
CAGGAUACAAGUAUAUAUCACACACAAACAGAUUGCAUGGCUGAACUAGUACUCUCUAUGAUUUCAUGGAAUGGGAUACACAACCACCUUUCCGGUAGCUCUGGAGGUUUCAAGAUAGGCAAAUGCUUCAACAUUCUUCGAAAAUGGAUACGGCCCGGUGGGAUCAAGCACCGGCCUCACCUUCCCACUCUCCAAGUAAGGCUUCAGUUUCUCUAAUACAGUUCCGGUUGAAGUCAGCAUAAAUAGGAAUGCCGGUGGCGCUACUGGACGUACAAUUGUCAGUACCUUCCCGCCUGCCUUCACCAUCUUCACUGCCCUGUCAGUCUCCCCUAUUUUUGUUAAUUUCAGAAACACAAAACAACAUCAGUCCUCGUGUUUGAUUAAUUCCUGAUAAAUAAAUAAAAAAUGUUGUAACCUUGAUGUAUUUUAUUUGGUUGGAUAGCAUCAUGCAUUGAAUUGUUUAAGCUUAAUUUAUGUAAGAAAGAACCAACAAUGAAGAUUCAAGAAUCAUCCCAACUGCGCCAUAAACCACAUCGAAUUCCUCGGGCAGGUCUACGAAGUUUGUUGGGGACAACACAUGUAAACAAAUUACUUAUAUUACACACACAAAAUAUUACAACACACUCUCAAGGACACACUUUAGAAGCUACGACACUUACUCACUCAAGAGACACACUCUAGACCACUCACACUCUUCACAAGACUACUCUUGCUUCUUGGCUACCUUCUAGUUCUUUCUACAAACUAGAACUAGUUUCUAGCUUCUAAUAUAUUCUACAAAUCUCUAACUUAGAUAAUUCUAGACUAGCCACCCUACUUUGCAUGCUAGAAUCUUCUAGAACAAUUCAAUGCAUGUUUGAACUAGAACAAUCUAGUUCCCUUAUACCGACUAAGCUUAAUGGGCUGGUGUUGAUCUUUAACACUCCCCCCUCAACACCAGCUCAUUCUUUUCUUCUCGCUAAGUCGACACUUUAUCUUGAACACCCAUUUACAUGAGAUGGGUUUUACUUCUCUUGGCCUUGACACUUAAUCCCAAGUUUGAUAUUUCUUUAACGCAUCGACCUUUUCUGACACCGGAUAAUGGAGAUCAAAGAGAAACCACAAGUGAACACUCAAAGAUAAACAACUCACCACUCUAAGGAAUCCACCAAAGAGAUAAGAGUUUAAGGAUAGGAAGAAAAACACUCUUCACUAAACCAAGUUUAAAAGGUUAAGGAUAGGAAGAAAAACACUCUUCACUAAACCAAGUUUAAAAGUAAUUCUUAAUUUCUGAAUGAUUUAUUUCCAUACAUGAGUAGGGAUUUUUAAUAGUCUAGGCAUGGAACAACCUUCGACCUUCCAUGAAUAGGUUACUAAGCAUGAACUUAAUGUAAGACUAAUCAUGAACUUAAAUGAGAACAUGAACCAUCUUUGAAUUAAAUACGAUGAAUGCACCAUGUAAUAAUUAGAUGAGUCCAAGUUCGGCGUCAUUUUCUCCUAGCUUUAUGCCAUUCAGAAUUCUGUAAUGCUUCUUUACGCAUUGCUUCAACUGCUUCUUCUACUAUGGUUGUGUUGGCGUAUAUGGGAUUUGGCUUCAGUAUUCUCAUUGACCUCCUUAGUUCUGAUUGUGGAGUUGAUACUUCCACUUCAAUAGGUCUAACUUCUCUUGGUGGUUGAUACACACUAGUUUGCCAAUGACCCUUAGGCACUUCUUGCUCGACAUCGUCUCUAGCAAGCAAAUCUUCAGGCUCAUUUGGACUCAAUUGGACUUGGGUAGCUUGGUCUCCCAUUUUCUCCUGCAACAUAUCUUCAAUCUCUUUCGAGUCGGAAAAUGCUUCAUUUUCUGAGCACCAACAAGAUGAUGCUUCUGUGUCCCAUUCUUCCUUCAUAGCUAGAUACGCUACGGUGUCCCAAUCAUCUUCAUUUUCCUCCUUUGAGCUGGCGACAUUACUUUCUGUGGGCUUUUUGAACCAGGAAUCCUUCGCUAUAUGGCCCUUCUUUCCAUAAUUGUAACAUUUGCCCUCAAACCUUUUAUUAUUUUGGGACUGACCACGGUUGUCGUGAUAUUUCGGAGCUACCCCUGGCCGAGAACACCCUUUUCCUUGAUGACCUUUCGCCUUGUCACCAUUUGUUUUAGAUUCUCCAUCAUCACGCUGCUUAAAGCUACCUUUACUUUUGGUGUAGAGCGUUUCCUCCUCACCUUUUAACAAGACCUCUCCCAUUUGCUUUGCCAAAGCUUCUUGAUUGGCAAGCAAAUUCUCAAACUCAACAAGUGAUGGUUGGGUAGGCCAUCCUUGUACAGCGGCAACGAAGCCUCGAUAUUCGGGUCUCAAUCCAUGGAUAAUUAUUCUUUUUAUCCUGAAUUCUACAAUGGCAGCAUUAGGAUCUAACUCAGAAAUUUCACGGCAAAUAGACUUUACCUUGUGGAAAUAUUCGGCAAUCGUCAUGUCUCGUUGGGCCACCGAUAACAACUCGUUCUCAAGAAUCUGCAGUCUUGUAUCAUUCCUCUUUGAAAAGAGUGUGGUGAAGGUGUCCCACCCUUCUUUCGGUGUCUUGGCCUUUCCGUAUGUGCUCCAACAUGUCCUAUUCAAUUGUCGUUUUUAAGGUGAACAUUGCAUUACCUGGCUUGAUCUUCCAUUUCGACAAAGUGCCGCUAGAGUCUUCUUCCGACUGUGUGAUCUCAUUAUCGCCGGUGACAUCCCAAAGAUCUUGGCCUUGUAGGUAAGACUCUAUACAUGUCACCCAUAUGUUGUAAUUUUUUUUUAUUAAGCUUUUUGAUUCCUCCAACAACUUGAAGAUCUCCCAUCGUGUCGACAAAACUUCGAUAAGCCGAACAAGAUUAACUAAUAAUCUUGUAAAGUACUAAACUUCUCACGAUUCUCUAAAGCUUCAAUAGAGAUGGUCCUUUGAUCGUACCGCUCUGAUACCAAUUGUUGAGGAAAAAUUAGAGUACACAACUCUAACACAAGUGUUGGGUGUCUACAAAAUAGAAAAUAUAUUCGAACAAAAAAAAUCAACUAGAUCAAUUUUGAUUCUUCAAAUAGAUUAAACUAAAUUAUAAGUUGGUAAAGAUUAAAACUUUUCUAAAUCCCCCAAAUCACAAGCUAAUCAUGCAUUAGUGAAAAAGAUAUGAAGAGAGAGAGGCUCAUAAGGGGUGGAGAGUCAGAGUCCUUCAAGUAGCCAAGUAUCAUUUUCAAAUCAACUGAGUUGAGAGAUGCAACAACCACCUUGAUCAGCACCUGGUCUUGUUUGGGUUAAAACUUGAACUUUGGGCUCAAGAAGGAGUUGGCCCAAAAGAAAGAGGUCUAGAAGGAGAAAAGCCCGAAGCCCAGCCAAAGCCCAGAAAGCAGGAGAGGCCAUUUCUGACUAGGUGCAGACCAUUUGAACCACUUGCUCACCUACUUAGAGGUCAAGUGGUAUAGACCAGCCAGCUAAUCAGCCCAAAAACAAUUUACAGUGGCGGUACAAGUAAAAAGCUGAUGAGUCAUUGCCCUUCAAGUUGCAUUCGGGCAAGAUUACUGCUUCAGGAGACCAAGCCGAAGUGUCUAUAAAAGAAGAAAGAGAAAUCAAAGAUAAGGACACUCAAUCAAACAAACAAAUACAAGCACAAACUCUGCUCAAACCAGAUUUGCCUUCAACGAAGCUGUAGUCAGCCCAAGUCUUCAUCCAUUUUGGGAUUAACCCUCAACCAAAGCCUUUGUAAUAGCUCUGCUACCUUGUCUAGAACUUGUUGUAGUAUCGAUUUCCUUUUGUAAACCCAUCUCCUUACCCCUCUUUCUAAGCUCUCAAACCCCUUGAUAAACCACAAAGAUAGGAAGUUGCAAGACGAUCAGCCUUGCCCGACCCUCUAUGUUUUUGUCUUUUCAUUCAUUAGUCUAGCAAUAUGUUGUAUACUUCCAGUUGUAUCCAAGUUAUUUCUGGCAAGUUGAUGAUUAAAAAGGCUCAUCAAUUCUUGAAUCCGAUUUAAAUAUGUCUUCACAGAUUAAAUUAGAUCUAAGUUCUAAGCCCUCGGGCAUGUAAGAUUGAUCAUUUAAAAGUCCUUGGUCUCAAGGCAUAAAAAAGAACCUUAUGUGGACUUAACCCAUCCACGACAGUCUUUGAUAAACAAGAAGUCCGAAGUUACUUAGGGCGCAAGUAAUCGACCUAUCCCUUAGUAUUAUUUCUAUUAUAUUAUGAUUAUCGUAGAACGUUUGAGCAUAGAAUGAAUUCUGAUGGGAAGCCUCAAGGCCUACACCUAAGGCCCUACAAAGGCACCUAUUUGGAUUCUUUCUGCUUUUCGGGGGCAAGUAAUCAGAAGUAUAAUAGUCAUAAUACUUCUGUAAUCAAUGAAACAAACAUUAUAUAUUUGAGUACUAGGUUAGUUCCUGAUUGGAAGCCUCAAGGCCUACCCCUAAGGCCCCACAAAGGCACAUUUCAUAACUAAAACAGCCUAUCGGGUAUAUAUACAACUAAAACUCAACAUCUGUUUUACAUCUGCCAUGCUGAAGAUGGCAGUGACACGCCUGAGCACUUAAAAGUUAAUCUUGAUUGUGUGCCUCAAGGCCUAUACCUAAGGCCCCACAAAGGCACAUUUCAAAGUUAACUUUGUCUUUCUUUUUCAGCCUUGCCCGACAAGCCUGCCAGUGAAGCAGAAGCCCGACAGAAAGUAUCGACCGGCGCUAACCUCUCGGGGAGCUGUGUGCUCGUUGGCUAAGAAACACCCCCAACGAAAAUUCUAGCCACGAACAGGUCUUCAUUUGUUUCGGGAACAAGAACAUCCGGAUCGAAGUUCAAAACAUCUGCAAGCUUCCCGUACUCUGAGUACACCCACGCCUUGUUUACAGAUGGUACGGAAACUGUAUCACUUGAAGCUACAGCCACCAUUGAUGCACUGCAAAACCACAAGAACUUGCAAAGGGAAAGGGAAAUGGUUUGUUGUUGUUGUUGUGAGCAAAUGAGUGAGAUACGAUCAGUCUGAGAUCUUGGCACCGUGUCAUUUUAAUGGUGAAGGAGAAGGAUGUGGGUUUUACUGGCGAAGGAGGAGGAUGUAGCUGUUAACUACAUUGAAAUGUUUGGGAAUUAAAGAGAAAAUCAAGAAAAAUCGAUGAAUAGAAGGAUGAACACAGAGAUCUUAGAGAGAGAGAGAUAAAGUUUAGAAAGAGAAAUAUGAGGCUUGUAUUAACUAAAAAUAAAGAUUACACAACUAUGUUUUUAUAAGAGAAUAGCCUACCAACUCUAACCAAAUACUAACAAACUUACUAGAUUGUUGACUUGUACAAUCUUUUUAACUAACCAUCUAACUAUUGGUGUGAAACCCUUAAUAGUAGCAACCACCUUGAUCAGCACCUCAUCCUCCUUAAUUUCAGGAACAGCCAAAAAUAAAAAAUAAAGAUGGUUAUUGGAAAGCGAGUAGUUGAUGUCACAGCCCGUCCCGAGAUUCUAUAUAUCGAGGUUGUGAAAUGACAAAAUUACCCUUAACGGUUACUAAGGUAUGUGUGUGACAUGUUAUUGAUUAUGCAUAUUUCCUAAGUUUUGGAAAAAUUUAAUUGGAUUAAAGGUUAUAUGUAUUUUUGUGGUUAGGGAGUUAAGAAAAAUGGAUGGUGAUGGUUUUGGGAUGGACCACACACACAUACACACGGGUCAAACCUCUCUCUCUCUCCUUCCCGUGCUCUCUCUCUCUCUUCUCUUCUCAGUUCACUCUCUCCCUCUCAAAACUUACGGAUGAGACCAAAUUCCCUCUAAACAUCGCGGAUCGACGCCGAAAAGGUAAGGUUCUUCAUCCUUUCGACCUCCUGAGUCGUUUGGUACUAGUUUUAGAAUGGGAAACCUUAGAAAUCACGUUGAAAACCCGAGGUCCAAUUUGAGUACUGUUCAUGCAUUCGUGAUGUGUUGAUUUUCAGGGAAUUCUAAGCUUAUAGUGAGCUUAGUGAGGUCCUAAGGAAGCUCGGAGUGCUUAGUUUAAAGGUUUUAGACGUCGGGAUCGUUGAGUUCGAAGUUGGCCGGUUUUCUUGGAAUUUCUCCGGUGAGAUUUCGUAGUUUUUAGAGCCUUAAAGUAGUGUAACGUGAAUCUACAUGCUUAGGGCUUCAUUUUGAUAUAAAAUGCGUGAAAAUGGUUGAGAAAUGACGGAGAACAAGGAGAUUGAAAAAUCUCCAGUUUUUCGACGACCGGCGACUAGAGGUUAGGGGUGAUACGCAUGGGGGCACGUGGACCCGUGCCCAUCCUGGCGCGUGCGGCCUCGGAAAAAUUUUCUGAAAAUAUGUCGACGUCCAUGACGUCGAGUAGGUCACUGUGGUAUAUUCAUAUACCCAAAUUGAGCACCGUAUGAGAAGUUAUUUCGAAUUGUCUGUUAUGUGCUUUAAAUAACGUUAUUUUAGUUGUUUCGCAUAUAGGUGAUACCUAUCCCGAGGACGAGCGCAUCCAGGGAUGUCACAGGGGUUACGACCCUUCGACUUAUCAGUGAGUGGGCAGUUAUUUUCUGUUAUUACCUAUAUACUAUUGAUUUUCCCAGAAAUUGAAUUUAAAUGAAAGUAUGUUUUCAAAUGCCAUGCAUGCAUAUUAUGAAUUAUAUGAAUUAGUAAUUGAUGCAUAUAUAUAUAUAUGAAUUGGUGUUGUGGACGCACAUGUGAGUAUCAGGUGAGUUUUAUGUUAUCUAUGUGAAUCAUUUAUGAUGUGAAUUAUGUUGAGAGCUCAUAACCUGCACCCCUGGUGUUAGUGCUUAUAGUAUUCACCGCACCGCACGCUCACCUUGGAUCCAAGUAGGUGCAUGUCGUACAAACCAUGAGAGAGUUCCGACAUACUAGUCGUACAGAUCACUAGAGGUGGUUCCGACUGGUAGGUGACCUUAGAUUAUGUGCACAGAUGAUUGAUGAGAGAAGCACUAAAGCGUAUUAUUACACCAUUCUUGUUGUACAGACUACUUCAGGUAGUUCCGACUUAUGUGCAGAGUAGUGCCGUACAGGUCACCGUGGUGACUCCGGUUGGUUUGGAUAUUGAGCUAUGGAAUUAACCGUACAGGAUCAAUUGCAGGGUCUCCGGUUAAUUCAUUAUGUCACCUGUUAUAUUGAUGCAUUCACAAUCUGUUAUUGACAUUUAUGGCAUGGCAUAUUUUCUGGAAUUGAUAAAGAUUCGUGAUUUGAGUUAUAUGAAGAGUUAUAUGCAUAUUAUGUUAAUUUCUGGGAAAGUAUACAUGUUUUACAGCGAGAGGUUAGAAUUGCUUUUGAUGAAAUGUUUUCGAAAAAAUUUGGUUUUACUGACCCAUUCAAUUUUGUUUUGCGCCCCUCUAGGUUCUAGUUAGCAGCAUUGGUGGCCCACGAGGAUCCCCACGGCGUACUGACAGACUACAUAAAUGUAGGACUCACCUGCGGGUGUUGUAAUCUAGUUAUGGUCCUACUUGACUGCACCUAGUUCUUAUGCUCUGAAUUUGUGUGUUUCACACUUAAACUUACUCUAGCACGUUACUUGGUUAUUAUUGCUAGUAUUUGGUUUUUGUUUAUUCGUAUUUCUCUUAUCUUUUGCUUCCGCGUCGCACUUUUGGUUACGUCACACUCACGUGGUGGCCAGCACGCCUUGAUUCUAGGAUUGGGGUGUGUCAGUUGAGCCCAAACUGGCAAACCGAAGUGUUGUUAAGAAAUUCCCACUAUGGUCUCUAGAGAACAAUCCUAACCCCUAUUAUGACUAGUUGUUCAAAAGGAUCUCCCGUUCUUCCAUCAAAUAUUUUUGGCCCUUUAAAAAUAUCUUUGUAAGUAUCCUUAAAAGUAACUUUGUAAGUUUCAUAUCGUUAGUUAAAAAAUAACAAAUAAAUAUAAAGAUUUGCAAUAUAUCAUAGGAUUUGGAGGAACUGUAAGAGGGAGUACAUCCGCUCUAACCAAUGCCCGUGUUAAAGCUAAAAAACACAGCAAUGAGCAAGUAGGAAGAAAACACACUGCAAACUAGCCAAACUAGAAGCACUAUAUAAAUACACAUAACAUUGCGCCCUUAUUACAAGACUUUCAAACAAGCGGGCAGCAGGAUACAAGUAUAUCACACACGAACAGACUGCAAGCCUGAACUAGUAUACUCUAUUAUCUCAUGGGAUGGGAUACACAACCACCUUUCCGGUAGCUCUGGAGGUUUCAAGAUAGGCAAAUGCUUCAACAGUCUUCGAAAAUGGAUACGGGCCGGUGGGAUCAAGCACCGGCUUCACCUUCCCACUCUCCAAGUAAGGCUUCAGUUUCUCUAAUACAGCUCCGGUUGAAGUAAGCACAAAUAUGAUUGCCGGUGGCGUUACUGGACCUAUGAUUGUCACAACCUUCCCGCCUUCCUUCACCGCCUUCAAUGCCCUGUCACUCUGCCCUGUUUUUGUUAAUUUCAACAACACAAAACAACAUCAGUCAUUGUGCUUGAUUUGUUUAAGAAAAAAACAACGAUGAAAAUUCAAGAAUUAUACCAACUGCAUCAUAAACCACAUCGAAUUUCUCAGGCAGGUCUUCGAAGUUCUCCUUGGUGUAAUCAAUAGCCAAAUCAGCACCCAAGCUUCUCAAAAGAUCGAGUUUUUUCGUGCUCGCUGUAGCUGCUACUUUUGAAGCACUAAACACGCUUUGCUAGCUGCCUCACAUAAACACAUUGAGUGUCAAGAAUAAUUAAUCAAUCAGCUUUACUUAAUUAGAGCCUAACUUAAUGGAAAAUGUUUGCACUUGAUUAACAUUGUACCUGAAUAACAUGUGUUCCGACUCCCCCAGCGCCUCCCAAAACAAGGAUGGAUUUACCGGCAGAGAAUUCAACUCGUUCGAGCCCUUCAUAGGCAGUCUCAAUGGCCAGGGGAAGGCUAGCAGCUUCAACAAAACUCAGAUUUUUUGGCUUGAGAGCUAACACUCUUUCUUCUGCAGCAGUGUACUCGGCCAAUGAUCCGAUCUUUUUCGGCUUAUCGAGAGACUUCUCGUUGAGAUCCCCAUAUACUUCAUCCCCCACCUUAAACUUUGUCACCCGGCUUCCUACUUUCACCACCGCACCAGCAACAUCAUACCCUGGAACCGUCUGCAAACAAGUUAAUUUAAUAAAAUUAAUAUUUUAGUAAACAAGCUAAUUGGGUUUACACUAGAAUUUGAAGAUCAACUUUGAUUCUUCAAAGCAAGUUUCUUGUUAUUUCUUAACCUUUCAAUUUUUAUUUUAUUUUACAAGAUGAUAAUUUAAACUAAUCUACAUGUGGGGAUUCAAACUUGGGUGUCAUCAUCUAAAGAGGAACGAGCACAUUAUUUUGGCCAACUGUAAUAUUAAUAUUCGUCUGUUUAAAAAGAAACGAGCACACUGUUCUAGCCAAUACACGUUUACAAAAAGAAAAUUUCUUCUAACAAAAAGAUCAACUAGAUCAGCUUUGAUUCUUCAAAUAGAUUUAACUAAAUUAUAAGUUGGUAAAGACUAAAACUUUUCUAAAUCCCCCUACUCACAAACUAAUCUUGCAUUUGACUUCAGUGAAAAAAAUGAAGAGAGAGAGAGAGGCUACAGGGGGUGAAGAGUCAGAGUCCUUGAAGUAGCCAAGCAUCCUUUUGAAAUCAACUGGGUUGAGAGAUGCAGCAACCACCUUGAUCAGCACCUGGUCUUCCUUUAUUUCAGGAACAGGAACAUUCGGAUCGAACUUCAAAACAUCUGCAGACUUUCCGUGCUCUGAGUACACCCACGCCUUGUUUACAGAUGGUAUGGAAACUGAAUCACUUGAAGCUACAGCAGCCGCCAUUGAUGCACUGCAAAAACCACAAGAAUUUGCAAAGGGAAAGGGAAAGGGUUUGUUGUUGUUGUUGUGAGCAAAUGAGUGAGAUCAGAUCAGAUCAGAUCAGUCUGAUAUCUCGACAGCGUGUCGUUUUAAAGGUGAAGGAGAAGGAUGUGGAACCUUGGUGUUUGCCUACGUGGCCAUAUAAGAAAAAACUCCAAAUGAUGCAUCAAGAUGCACUGUUAGUUAGGUUCAGUGGGGCAACAUGCCAAAUUAUGCAUGUAGACACAUCGUUGCUUGAGGUUCAUUGUGUGCGGCAACAUGUUAUAAAAUUGGUGUUCUGUUUCUUUUAGCCAAAUCUGACAUCAAGAAACCCCUGGAUGGUAAUGCUAACGUCGCUGAUAUCGUAAUGCUUGCUAGCGUAGAAGUUUUCUUCCUUUUUUUAUCCUUAUCCUUGAGUUUUCUUCUUUCUUGUUGACACCUCCAACAAGAAAUAUAAGAAGAAAAAACCCAACACUUUCUGUUACUUGGCUCUUUUGUAAGUAAGUGCUUACGUAAGAAAUACUAAUUUAUAACUUUACGUAGGUUACUAUUAUUAUUUUUAUAACUUUAGGUAGGUUACUAUUAUUAUUUUUUAACAAAUGAUAUUAUCUUAUAUUAAGACCAUCUUUAACCUAUGGGGUAAAGCUUAAAAUAUAAGUUUUAAAAACCCCCAAACCAUUUCCAACCAUAGGCUAAAUAAGUCAUGGUGAGAAAAUAUAUAUCUGGGCUAGAUUCCCUGUUACACCACACCCUCAUUUUAGUUAAAAAUGGUUUUUAGUUCUGAAUUGGUGAGCCCAAAGGGCACACCCCCUGUUAUCUGUCCCCGGUUUCCCAUCUCUCUCUCUCUCCUCCAUUUCUCUUCUCUUUUCCCUUCUCUCUCCCCGAAUCUCUCUGCACCCACUCUCGUCUCUCUUUCUCUCCCUCAUUCCCCGAUCUCUCACCCCUCGACCCACACCCGAGAGCUCCACACCACCCUCCCCGACAUCAACGGAGCCACCAUCAUCAUCAUGCCGUCUCUCUCUCUCUCUCUCUCUCUCUCUUGUCGCUGCGAGGUGCGGAGAAGCCACCCUCCUGCGAGAUUCUCCAUUUUUUAGAAAUCAAGGUAAGCCUCGGGACUUCUCUUUCUGGUUUAUGAUGAAUUGGGGUUAAGUUUGGGACUUUUUAUCCAUGCAUGCUUGUGUUCUUCGAAUUUCCAAUUCUCGGCAAACUUCUACGGUGGAACUCUAACGAGUUCUAAAUCAAACCCACCCCAAACUUUGGAAUUUCUCAUCUAAGAAACUGAAUGGUGAACAUCAUGAAUUCCGGCAGUGGAAUCGUCGAAUUUGGGGUCCUGCAAGCUCAUCUGAGUAUCCAGCAAACCUAGGGUAAUGUUAUUAUGCUUUGCAUGUUAGAUUUGAGUUGAGAUUUGAAGGUUUUAACCCUAGGAAACUCUUUGUGCAUUUCCCUAACUCCAGCAAGAAAAUUUGGCGAAGCCUUGUCGAGUCCGAAGAGGAUUUGACUCGUUUUCAUCUAUGUUGAUGCUCUGAUGAAUUACCUCAAUUUUUAGUGAAGUUCUAGUCCAAAGUCAUGUGGAACCACUGGCGGAUUCAUUAAGGGGUAAGGGGGUCAGCUGACCCCCCGAACUUCAAUGAACGUCUAUAGAUACCUUAGGUGCUGACCCUCCGAAUUUCGAUGAAUGUCCAUGGAUACCUUGAGUGUUGCCCUUUUGAAGAUUAGAGUUGGCUUCAUACUUGCCCUCCAACCGACUUUAGACUUACCAAAACCCGAUGAAUGUCCAUGAAUACCUUGGGUGAUGCCCUUGCAUACAUUAACAUAUCUAUAGUAUGCAUUUUCAAAUGACUUCAGGCCUACCAAGACUCGAUAAAAUGACGAUAUGCAUACUAUUUUUGGUAUAAAAAAAAUUGCGCACUACGCGCGUUGUUCUUACUGACCCCCUUUAAUAUUAUUUCCUGGAUCCGCCACUAUAUGGAACCAAGGUGUUUUACCUCUGUUUAUUCUCUGCAAUCAGUUCCAAAAACUAGGGAACCCACACAUAUUGAACUCCAGCGAGUUCUUGGGCUGCUUGUUUAAUGUGUGUGUGUGUCGUGUGUGUGUGUGAGUGUGUGUGUGUGUGUGUGUGUGUGUGUGUGUGUGUGUGUGUGUGUGUGUGUGUGUGUGUGUGUGUGUGUGUGUGUGUGUGUGUAUGUGUGUUAUAUGGGUUUGGGCUCAAGCCCAAACCACCAUUCUUUGCAAUAAGGCCUUCGGGCCGUGUGUGUAUAUGUGUGGGUCUGGGCCCAAGCUCAGACAACCCUAAACCCAUCCAACCCACAACCCUUUUCCCAAAACCAAUUUCCUAAAACUCAUUAACCUUAAAUCUAAAUCUAAACCCUUAGGGCCCAAUCGGCCCAACCCAAAUCCAAGCCCAGUCUGACCUUUGACCGUUGACUUGGUCAACGGUCAGCGUUGACUUUGACCAGUCAACGAUUAACAUUGACUUUUAGAGUUGACUUUUCGGGGUUUCGUCUGGGACCUUUCCUAGGCUAAUUUCGACGUCCUGGACCCGUUUUUGAAGUCCAUUUUCCCAAAUUAAAUUGUUUGAGUAGAGUUUGACUAAUUGUGCUAUUUAUGUGCUUAGGGUCAACUAUUGUGACGUUUUCGUCUUCGCUAGUGGCGCAGUUUUUGGCGGCUAAGUACUGUGAGUAGACCCCUUCUAAAAUUAAAUGAUUUUAUAGUUCAAUUGCAUAAAUGAAUAGCAUGCCUUACGAGUUUAUGAUUUGAUUUUAUGUUAAGCAUUUUUAUUGAAUAUGUUGAUUUUCGUCUUGUGUUUUUUAUGAGGAAUUAAUUGUUAGCCUAUAUUGAGCUAUAUUUUAAUAUAUCGUAUUUUCUAUAAAAACCAUGAACUGGUAGACUAUCUGAUGGAUGACGAUAGGAUGCUAGAACAUGUUUUAGAAACCCCUCUUUAUAGUAUAGACGAUGGAUGACUUUAUACUAUGAAGUGGUUAUUUAUGAAAGGCGUAAUUAUUUGUGCAUAUCUAGUGGACACUAUGCCGCCUGGGGUGAGGAUCUGGUGUUGGCAGAUAGGCCGGGAGAAAUAAUCCCUAGCUACGGGCUGAGGGACACGGAGCAGGCAUUGGGCCGAGAGUUGGUAAUCUCUGGCUACGGGUGCAGAGACCACGGUGCUGGCAUAGGGCCGGGAGUUAUAUUUAUUCAAUGAUCUUACUAGCAGCACACCAUGUUUACGAGACGAUCUACGAGAUGAUACACGCGAUGAUUUAUAUGAUGUUUUUCCGCGUUAUACCUGUUGAGAUGUUUUAUGGCAUGCUAGAGUUUCAGAAAACCUAUCACUUAUUAUGCUAGUAGUUUUCAUUAUAUAUAAACUUGGUCCACUCACCCUUGUUUUGCGCCCCUUUCAGGAUUUAGAAUUCGAGGCAUAGGUUCCCGACGUCAACGCUUUCGCAUUGGCAUAUUCGAGUCCUCUCGGUGUAGGACUCACAUCCUUUUAUUUAUUAAAUUUUAUAUUAAUUCUUUUAGAACUCUAGUUAGUUGUAUGCUCUGAACACGUUUCUAAUUUAUUAAUUCUUUGAAUUUUAAAUUCAUAACCCUUAUUUACUUCUUAUUCUUAGCUUUUGUAUCAAUUAAUGGCUUUCGUCACCCUCGGGUGUCGGCCAGCACGUGCCUAUCCUGUUAUUCCAGGAAUAUUGGGAUCGGGGAGUGUCAUUCCCCUAGAAUUUAAGUAUGUCUUAAAUUAUUUUGGACCCACCAAACUGUCAUAUUUCAUUUUUUGUUUUUGUUUUUUACUUAUAAUCUAACGGCUAUGAUCAAAUGAGACCAAAUCUAAUAGUAAAAUAAACAUUUGACGGUCCAAAAUUAAAUAAUGUCUAAAAUUAUUUAAGAAAAUUAUCUACACCAAAUUUAACUUAAAACUUUAAAUACCUAUGUAUUUGUAUGAUUUUUAAUUACUUAUCAUCGAAAAUUAAAUAUUUAAAGACUAAAAUGUUCAUAAAAAUAAAUUAAGAUAAUCUACAUAAUUUUUUUUUUAAAAGAAAAGUUAUCGAAAACAAAAAGUUAGGCUAAAAUCAUUAUUUAAUCAUCACAGACUAAAAUUUUAAGCCACAAGGGUUGGAGGAAAAAAAAAAAUCAGUUUUUGGCUUAUGGCUUAAAAUUUUAUGGCUUAAAUUUUUAAGUUUUAUGCCCAAGGGUUGGAGAUGGUCUAAAGGGGUGAGGGAAUUCAAAUGGGCUAAACCCCACAAUGAAGCUAGCAAUAAUGUGGUUCAAAUUAGUAGAGGUGCAGUUAAAAAAUAUUAUUUAUAGACUUAUUAGAGGUAUAGUUAAAAAAAAAAUUAUUAGGAAAUUGUUAUUAGCACUCCAAAAAUCUCAUUUGGCACUCCAAACUUUCUAUAAUUAGAAAGAAAAAUACACUUAUGACGAGUGUAUAAUGAGUUUUUUUUAGUGCUAAUAACAGUUCCCUAUUAUUAAUUGACUUAUUUAUCUUUCAUUAAUGUUGUAUUUUCUAAAUAGGAUUUCUGAGAAGGGCAAUAUGGAAAUACAAAAAAGUUUCAUGCCAAGAAGUUGUAAACAUGCUUAAGAAAUUAGAAACAUUUUGGCUUCAAUAAGAAGGUGUCAUGUUGAUAGAGUAUUAUGUACUUGCAAGUUCAAAGACGUAGCACCAACUCCAAAAACUAAAGCAUUGCCUCAUACAAUUUUAGAUAAAUAUUUUAGUUCAUCUUAAACUUUUAUUUAUGGUAUUGCAUAUUUUUGUACUCAAACAACUUUAGAGAAAUAUUUUAAUUUCCUUAAGAUGAGACUAAGAACAAUUAUAACUUAUUAAAAUGUGGAGUUUAUUCCUAUGCAUAACUGGUCUUUUAAGUUGGGACCAAAAUCUUUUGUGACUUGAGGUUAUUCCUUUAUGGAAUAUUACUUUAGAGAGGUUUUACUGUAGUUAAGGCUUUUUUUAAUGAAAGCGCUUUCAUUAAAAACAAAAGGAAAACUAAUUAAAAAUGCUUGAAAACUUUGAGUUUUAACGAUAAGGACAAAAUAAAGGGUUAAGUGAAUAGUACCAUGAUUGACUUUUUAGUGCAAAAAUGUGAUUUUUCGUUAAAAUGAACAGUACCGCGGGCUUUUCGUUAAAACUCCCAAAAACAAAUCAAAGUUUUUAUUAUAAACCCAAUUGCUCUUUUAUAGUUGUGAAGGGAGAAUGUUGUGCAGGCAUUGUCGCUUGAGGUUCACUGUAUGAGAACAAGUCGCAACUCAAGUUUUGUAUCUUAUUUUUCACGACUGAGGCAUGCAAUUGAAGUUUACCUUUGUUUGUAUCAUACUUGACCAAUCCUGAAACUAUUGAGCACCGAUCAACGUUAUACCGUCAAGGACCCAGAAAAGUUUCCCUCCAACCAGGAGGCCAAUCACAGCGCGACACCUGUCGAUAUCAAAAGUCAAUCAUAGCGUGACACGUGUCAACAUCAGAAGCCAAUCACAACACGACACGUGUCAAUGUUUGAAUGAAACUAGAAACUCUCUUCUAUAAAUAGAUAUCAUUCUCUCACAAUAUUUCCUAAUGUCAUUUGUACUAAAUCAUUCACUUGUACUCACUAAAUGAGAGCUUGAACCUAUGUACUUGUGUAAACCCUUCACAAUUAAUGAGAACUCCUCUACUCCGUGGACGUAGCCAAUCUGGGUGAACCACAUACAUCUUGUGUUUGCUUCCCUAUCUCUAUCCAUUUAUAUACUUAUUCAUACUAGUGACCGGAGCAAUCUAGCGAAGGUCACAAACUUAACACUUUCUAUUGUACCAAAAUCCUCACUGAGUUUGUGCAUCAACAACCUUCUUACUUAUCACACCUACAACAAGAAAAACAAGACGAAGAAAAAAAAACACCUGUACUUUUGAAGUUGACCUAGUUCAAAUGGAAGUGCUAUAUAAGAGGGAAUAUAUCCGCUCUAACCAAUGCCGGUGUUAAAGCGAAAAAACACAGCAAUGAGCUAGUAGGAAGAAAACACAGUGAAAACUAGCCAAACUUGAAGCACUAUAUUAGUAGAUAUAAGAUUGCGCCGCCCUUAUUACAAGUCCUUUUAAACAGCAGGCAGCAGGAUACAAGUAUAUAUCACACACAAACAAAUUGCAUGGCUGAACUGGACUCUAUGAUUUCAUGGAAUGGGAUACACAACCACCUUUCCUGUAGUUCUGGAGGUUUCAAGAUAGGCAAAUGCUUCAACAGUCUUCGAAAAUGGAUACAGGCUGGUGGGAUCAAGCACCGGCCUCACCGUCCCACUCUCCAAGUGAGGCUUCAGUUUCUCUAAUACAGUUCCGGUUGAAGUCAGCAUAAACAGGAAUGCUGGUGGCGCUACUGGACGUACAAUUGUCAAUACCUUCCCGCCCGCCUUUACCGCCUUCACUGCCCCGUCAGUCUCCCCUAUAUUUGUUAAUUUCAGAAACACAAUACAACAUCGGUCCUUGUGUUUGAUUAAUUCUGAUAAAUAAAUAAAAAAUGUUGUAACUUUGAUGUAUUUAUUUGGUUGGAUAACAUCAUGCAUCGAAUUGUUUAAGCUUAAUUUAUAUAAGAAAGAACCAACAAUGAAGAUUCAAGAAUCAUCCCAACUGCGUCGUAAACCACAUUGAAUUUCUCGGGCGGGUCUACGAAGUUCUCCUUGGUUUAAUCAAUAACAAAAUCGGCACCCAAGCUUCUCAAAAGAUCGAGUUUUUUGUGCUUACAGUAGCUGCCACUUUUGAAGCAUCAAACAUAUGCUUGCUAGCUGCCUCACAUAAACACAUUAACUGUCAUGCAUAAUUAAUCAAUCAGCUUUGCUUAAUUAGAGUCUAACUUAAUGGUAUAGUGGAAAAUGUUUUGUGGAAAAUGUUUUCACUUGAUUAACUUUGUACCUGAAUAACAUGUGUUCCAACUCCCCCAGCGCCUCCCAAAACAAGGAUGGAUUUACCGGCAGAGAAUUCAGCUCGUUCGAGCCCUUCACAGGCAGUCUCAAUUACCAGAGGAAGGCUAGCGGCUUCAACGAAACCUCAGAUUUUUGGGCUUGAGAGCUAACACUCUUUCGUCUGCAGCAGUGUACUCGGCCAAAGAUCCGAUCUUUUUCGGGUUAUCGAUAGCCUUCUCAUUGAGAUCCCCAUAUAUUUCAUCCCCCACCUUAAACUUUGUCACUUGGCUUCCUACUUUAACCACCACACCAGCAACAUCAUAUCCUGGAACUGUCUGCAAAACAAGUUAAUUUAAUAAAAUUAGAAGUAGCAAAUAAGCUAAUUGGGUUUACGCUAGAAUAUGAAGAUCAGCUUUGAUUCUUCAAAGCAAGUUAAAUUUUUUUUUUCCUUAACCAUUCAUCUUUAUUUUAUUUUACAAGACAAUACUUUGAACUAAUCUACGGGUAGGGAUUCAAACUUGGGUUUCAGCGUUUAAACAGUGACGAACACAAUGCUAUGGCCAACUUACGCGUCUACAAAGUAGAAAAUAUAUUCUAACAAAAAAAUCAACUAGAUCAAUUUUGAUUCUUCAAAUAGAUUAAACUAAACUAUAAGUUGGUAAAGAUUCAAACUUUUCUAAAUCCCCCAAAUCACUAGCUAAUCAUGCAUUAGUGAAAAAAAAUGAAGAGAGAGAGAGAGAGAGAGAGGCUCACAGGGGGUGAAGAGUCAUAGUCCUUGAAGUAGCCAAGCAUCCUUUUCAAAUCAACUGAGUUGAGAGAUGCAGCAACCACCUUGAUCAGCACCUGGUCUUACUUUAUUUCAGGAACAGGAACAUCCGGAUCGAAGUUCAAAACAUCUGCAGACUUUCCGUACUCUGAGUACACCCACGCCUUGUUUACAAAUGGUACGUAAACUGAAUCACUUGAAGCUACAGCCGCCAUUGAUGCACUGCAAAAACCACAAGAACUUGUAAAGGGAAAGGGAAAUGGUUUGUUGUUGUUGUUGUUGUGAGCAAAUGAGUGAGAUACGAUCAGUCUGAGAUCUUGGCACCGUGUCAUUGUAAUGGUGAAGGAGAAGGAUGUGGGUUUUACUGGUGAAGGAGGAGGAUGUGGAACCUUGGUGUUUGCCCACGUUACCGUACAAGAAAAAACUCCAAAUGAUGCAUCUACAUGCAUUGUUAUUUGAGGUUCAUUAUUUGCGGCAACAUACCAAAUCAUGCAUCUAAAUGCAGUGUUAUCUGAGGUUCGUUGUGUGCGUUGUGUGUGGCAACAUACCAAAUGAUACAUCUAGAUGUAGUGUUAUUUGAGGUUCGUUGUGUGCGGCAACAUGUUAUGCAAUUGAUGUUCUCUUUCUUUUAGACAAAUCUGACAUCAACACACCGCGAGAUCGUAAUUGCUAGCGAUUGAAGUUUUCUUCCUUAUUAUCCUUAUCACAAGUUUUCUUCCUUCUUGUUGACACCUUCAAGAAAUAUAAGAAGAAAAAACCCAACACUUUCUAAGUUACUCAGCUCAUUUGUAAGUAUGGGUUUACGUUAGAAACAUUAAUUUUAUAACUUUAGAUAGGUAUUAUUUGAUAGAGAUGUAGUUAAAAAAAAUAUUAUUUAUUGACAUUUAUUUUUGAUGAAUUAUGUAUUUCCUAAACAGGAUUUCGAAGGAGGACAACAUGAAAAUACAAAAUGUAUUAUGCCGUGAAGUUGUGAACAUGCUUGAGAAAUUAGAAACAUUUUGGCUUCGAUAAGAAGGUGUCGUGUUGACAAAGUAUUACGUACUCGCAAGCCUAAAGUGUUGACUGAUAUUGACUCAAGUGAAUGCCACAUAAUCUGCCAUGUCAUCAAUAUUUCUGUUAAAAGUUAGUUAGGAGGGUUAUGUGUAGCUUACACAGUAAGCAAGGUAGUUAGACUACUAGAGGGAUAUAAAAGGCCGAUUGCAGUCUAAUGUUUGUAAGAAAUAACCAUUCUAUCAAUACAAAACUUUUCAUAUUCUUUCUAGUUUUAUUUCCAGGUCUUCUUCUACAUUCUCUAUAUUCCUUCUUUCUUCUUUCUUCUGUGGUUCUGAUCUUCUUUGUUAAGAUGGUAUCGAGCCAAGGUUGAUUUUUUUUUGGGAUUUUCUUCCGCUGAGUAAGUCUUGGAGAUUGAUCGUUGAAGGCGUUGUUGGAGUUCUUGGAGGAUUGGUGCUGGCUUGAUGAAUUUUGGGUCGAGGGUCUUUCAAUCAGGUUGUUGGUUUCUUUCUUUAUUCUUUGCACAUCAAGUGUUUGCGUUUUUGCUUCAGUGAAGAUAUAUGGCGAUUUGGGUUGUUUCUUGUGGUUUUUCAUAUAUGGGUUCUUUGUUGGAUUCGAUUAAGGCUGAUGCCAGACAAUAGCAGAUUUAUACUUGUGGUGUGAUAUGGUUGAAGUUGUUCAUUUGUGACAUUGCUGAAAUUUUAGCUUUUGAAGUAUAUACAUAUAGAAGGCCGAUGCCAAGAAGUAGUGCAAAUAUCUUGAAGUGGUGAUCAUUGUUGUAGUUUGGAGUUAAACAAAUUUGUGAUUGAGAUUGUUUGCUUGUCAGUAAUACGUGAUAAAGAUGUCUGAUAAAUGAGUACGCAUUGAAAGUUUGCUUGGUAUGUUAACUGUGAAGUUGCAAGAUGACAAUUUUGUUAAGUGGAAUUAUCAGUUUCAGUCUGUUUUACGAGGGUAUGAUUUCUUUGAAUUUUUUACUGGUGAGUCUCCUUGUCCACCAAAGUUUGUGAUUAACACUGAGAGUGGAGUGACUACAGAAAUCACAGCAGCUUAUAAAUCUUGGGUUCAGAAAGAUAUGGAACUAUUGAGUCUGUUAAUUGCUACUUUGUCGGAUGAUGCUAUGGAAUAUGUCAUAGGGUGUAAAAUGUCUCAUGAAGCUUGGGUAAACUUACAAGACCGAUAUGCGUCCGUGUCAAGGGCUAGGAUUAAUCAACUCAAAAUUGUGUUUCAUACAAUUCAAAAAGGCAGUGAUUCUAUUGACAAGUAUUUGCUUCGGUUGAAAGCCAUUCGUGAUCAGCUUGUGUCUGCAGGGGAGAGGAUUACUGAUAAUGAUGUUGUUAUUACUGCUUUAUCUGGAUUACCAUCGGAGUUUGAUAUUGUCAAGGCUGUAGUUUUAGCAAGGGAGACUUCUAUUCCACUGAAAGAUUUCAGGGCGCAGUUGAUUGGUGUUGAAUCUGCUAUGGAAGCAAGAGUCACUACUCUGGCCAGUGGCAUGGCUGCAAUGUAUGUUCAAGGAGAUAGAGUUACAGGUGGUCAUCAGAAUUCCGGGUAUUCACAAGGAGAGAGUUCAAAUGCUGGUUCACAAAUUGGUGAUACUCAAGGCUAUCAAGGGAACAACAGGUUUCAAAACAGAAAUAGGUUUAAUAAUUCUCAGGGGUCUAAUACUUCUCAGAACUAUAACAGAAGUGGUUAUGGGUCUUUCAAUAAUUCAAGGCCUUAUUACAAUGGGAAUAGACAGAGAUGGGGAAACAACUAUAAUAAUUCUCCUACUGGGAAUAUGUCUUCUUGGAGUGGUAAUACUACCUUCAAAACAGGUCCGAUAGUUGAAUGUCAGAUUUGUUCUCGCAGAGGUCAUACUGCUGCAACUUGUUCGAAUAAGAGUGAUGGUUAUCAGGUUCUAAUCUGCCAAAUUUGUGGAAAGAAAGGUCAUCAUGCUCUGGAUUGUAGACAUAGGAAUAACUAUUCCUAUCAGGGGGCACCUCCACCUCCUUCUCUUACUGCAUUUUCUGCUUAAGCUCCAUCUCACAUGACUGCUGCAGAAUAUGGUCAGAAUGUUCAACAUUUCUCUGCAGCUGAUACAUGGGUGUUGGACACUGGUGCUUCACACCAUAUGACAUCUAAUCUUAGGAAUCUCAAUCAACCUGUGCAGUAUAAUGGUGAUGAGAAAAUCACUAUUGGUAAUGGGGAAGGUUUGGCUGUUACUCAUAUUGGUUCUACAACCCUUUCAACUCCACAACAUUUACUGUUUCUCAAGAAUGUCUUACAUGUUCCAACCAUUACUGUUAAUCUCUUAUCUGUUAAGAAAAUUAUGUGAAGAUAAUCAUUGCUGGUUUAUAUGUGAUGAGAGUGUCUUUUUUAUACAGGACAAGGCAACAGGAAUGAUGUUGUACCACGGCAAGAGUAGGGGAGAGCUAUAUGAGAUCCCUGUGACUGUGUUUUCAAGAAGAUUGGUUGCUGGUCAAAAUAAAGUUGUUGCAUUACUUGGGAAAGCUGUAAAGACUUCUGUUUGGCAUAAGAGGCUUGGGCAUCCUUCUGCCGAAGUGCUUGAUGUUAUGCUUCGAAAUGUUGGACAGCCUGUUAGUGUAGAUUCAUCACCUUCUGUUUGUUCUUCAUGUCUUUCUGGAAAAAUGUGUAGACAACUCUUUCCUGUCAAAGAAACUAGGGCUAGUUCUAUGUUUGAAAAAGUACAUUCUGAUAUUUGGGGGCCUGCUCCAGUUAAGUCUCUAGAAGGGUUUAGAUACUAUGUAAGUUUUGUGGAAGAGUUCUCAAGAUUUGUAUGGAUCUUCCCUAUUAUCAAUAAAUCUGAGGUUUUCCAAGUCUUUUUAAGUUAAGUUUUUUGCAUUUGUUACAACUCAGUUCAAUUCUAUAAUUAAGUGCUUACAGACAGAUGGUGGUUCUGAAUAUAUGAGUAACAGAUUUCAGUCUUUUUUGGCACUCAAAGGAACUGCACAUUCCAUAUCAUGUCCUUACACACCUCAGCAGAAUGGUCUUGCUGAGAGGAAACAUAGGCACAUCGUAGAGACUGCUAUCACACUUUUAACCGAGGCUGAAGUUCCAUUACAGUUCUGGAAUUAUGCUUGUACUCAUGCUGCAUUUCUGAUCAACAGAAUGCCGUGUAAGGUUUUGGGGAUGAAGUCUCCAUAUCAGCUCCUGUUUAAACAAGACCCUGUGUUGCAUACAUUGAAGAUAUUUGGAUCUGCAGUUUAUCCAUUCUUAAGGCCGUAUACUAAACAUAAAUUGCAACCUAGGUCGAAGCAAUGUGUUUUUCUUGGUUUUGUGGCUGGAUAUAAAGGUGUAGUCUGUUAUGAUUUGAGUAGUACUAAACUAGUAUUGUCAAGACAUGUGGUGCAUGAUGAGACUACAUUUCCAUUUAAAUCAAGACUGCAGUUGUCUUCUGGGAAGUUCAAUAAGGUCCAGAGUACAACAAUGUUUCCAAUCAUGGUUCAAAUGCCAUGUUUUGCUCCUGAUCCCAUAUCCUCCCCAACCCUUGCCAGGUCAUCUGCCAAUCCAGAUAUUAUGGAAGAUCAACCAAUGGAUAGCUUACAGGUUCCAAGCUCAUUAAGUCAAGUUUCUCAGGAUCUCAAUGCUCAUACUCAUAGCUCUCCUACUCUCUCAACAUCACCUCCAAGUACAAUAUCAUUGUUGCCUGUCCAUAGUCCUUCUCAGUUAGAGGUAAUCCUACCAAUCUCUUCUCCUGUGGUUGAAACUAAUGAAGAAUCAGCUCACGAUAUGGUCACCAGGUUGAAGUCAGGUGCCAUUUCCCGAAGAUCUUACACAGGUUAUAUUGGUUCAUUUCCAGAAUUACAAACUCUCCAGAUGGAUAAUGAGUGUGACUUUACUGGGGGGUUUUCAUUUAUUGCUGCAAUACAGGAUUUGGAGGAACCCUCAACAUUCCGAAAAGCUUCUACAUGUCCACAUUGGCAAAGUGCAAUGCAAGAAGAGUUUAAUGCACUCAAAGCUCAAGGAACUUGGCAAUUGGUUCCUUCUCCACCAAAUAGAACCAUUAUUGGCAGUAAGUGGGUAUAUAAGGUUAAGAAGAAUCCUGAUGGCAGUGUAUCGAGGUAUAAAGCCAGACUCGUGGCUCAAGGUUUUUCCCAAGAACCAGGCAUUGACUACUCAGAAACUUUUAGUCCCGUAGUCCGACACACUACUGUAAGACUCAUUUUGUCCUUAGCAGCUAUCAAUAAAUGGGAAUUGAGGCAGUUAGAUAUCAAAAAUGCAUUUCUGCAUGGUGACUUGCAAGAAGAGGUGUAUAUGAAACAGCCUCAAGGGUUUGUUGAUCAAACUAAACCCCAUUAUGUCUGUAAGUUGAUUAAAUCGUUGUAUGGGUUGAAGCAAGCCCCUCGGGCAUGGAAUUCAAAGUUCACGACCUAUUUACCAGCUUUGGGAUUUGUACCAUCUUCAUCGGAUACAAGUUUAUUUGUGAAGAAUGAUGACAAGGAUGUGGUGAUUCUUUUACUAUAUGUAGAUGACAUCAUUUUUGACAGGAUCCAAUCCUAGCAAAGUUCAGCAAGUUAUUGAUGAUUUGGCAGGUGUUUUUGACUUAAAGGAUAUGGGCAGACUUACUUACUUCCUGGGACUUCAGAUUCACUACAAGGAGAAUGGAGACAUAUUUGUCAAUCAAUCAAAGUAUGUUAAAGAUCUUAUUCAUAAAGCUGGAAUGGAAUCUUGUAAACCUGCCAAUACACCAUGCAAACCUCACAAUCAAAUGCUCUUGCAUGAGGGAAUACCAUUGCAGGACUCUACAUUGUACAGAAGUUUGGUUGGUUCCCUGCAAUAUCUCACAUUUACACGUCCUGAUAUAGCGUAUGCUGUGAAUUCAGUGUGUCAAUUUAUGACUGCUCCGACAGAUUUACAUAUCAUUUCUGUCAAACGAAUUCUUCGAUAUCUUCAAGGCACUGCAGAGUGUGGCAUUACAUAUGCAGCUGAUACUGACAUACAUUUGACAGCAUUCUCUGAUGCUGAUUGGGCUGCUGAUUUGAACACAAGACGAUCUGUGACUGGUUAUGUGGUUUACCUUGGUGGGAAUCCAAUCUCGUGGUAGUCAAAGAAGCAAUCAUCCGUCUCUCGAAGUUCUACCGAGGCGGAGUACAAGGCACUUGCUCAUACUGCAGCAGAUGUGGCUUGGAUUCGGCUCAUUUUGAAAGAUUUGGGCGUUGCAUUACCUUUUCAACCAACUAUAUUCUGUGAUAAUAAAUCUGCAAUAGCACUCAGUGCUAAUCCAGUGUAUCAUUCGAGAAUCAAACACCUUGAUACGGAUUAUCAUUUUGUCCGUGAAAGGGUGCAUCAUGGUGAUUUGUUGGUUGAAUAUCUACCCACUGAUGAACAGACCGCUGAUAUUCUUACUAAAGGAUUACAUAGUCCGCCGUUCACUCGUCAUUGUUUCAAUCUCAAACUUGGUUUCCCUAGUUGAGAUUGAGGGGGGAUGUUGACUGAUAUUGACUCAAGUGAAUGCCACAUAAUCUGCCAUGUCAUCAAUAUUUUUGUUAAAAGUUAGUUAGGAGGGUUAUGUGUAGCUUACACAGUAAGCAAGGUAGUUAGACUACUAGAGGGAUAUAAAAGGCCGAUUGCAGUCUAAUGUUUGUAAGAAAUAACCAUUCUAUCAAUACAAAACUUUUCAUAUUCUUUCUAGUUUUAUUUCCAGGUCUUCUUCUACAUUCUCUAUAUUCCUUCUUUCUUCUUUCUUCUGUGGUUCUGAUCUUCUUUGUUAAGAUAAAGGCGUGAAAUCAACUCUAAAAACUGAAGCAUUGCCCCAAACAACUUUAGAGAAAUGUUUUAGUUAAUCUUAAACUUUUAUUUAUGGUAUGAAACUAUUAUUGACACUUCUAACAUCUCAUUCUAUAUUCCUCAUAAGUGUAUUUUUUUUUCUUAAUUAUAGAAAGUUUGAAGUGUAAAAUGAAAGUUUUGGAGUGUCACAUUCCAGCCCGAGCCCCCACCACAUCCCAGGCUCAACUCCACCGUAGCACGAUAUUGUCUGCUUUGGGCCCCGAGCACGCCCUCACGGUUUUGUUUCUGGGAACUUACACAAGAACUUCCCAGUGGGUCAUCCAUCAUGGGAGUGCUCUUGUGCGCUACUUGCUUAACUUCGGAGUUCUAAUGGAACCCGAAACCAGUGAGCUCCCAAAAGGCCUCGUGCUAGGUAAGGGUGGGAAUAUACAUUUAAGGAUCACUCCCAUGGGCGAUAUGGGAUGUUACAAUCCACUCUUCUUAGGGGCCCGACAUCCUCGUCGGCACACUUUCGGCCAGGGAUUGGCUAUGAUACCAUUUGCCACAUCCCGGCUCGAGGCAGACCACUUCCCGGGCCCGUUCCACCACCGUAGCACGAUAUUGUCCGCUUUAGGCCUCGACUACGCCCUCACGGUUUUGUUUCUGGGAACUCACAUGAGAACUUCCCAGUGGGUCACCCAUCAUGGGAUUGCUCUCGCGUGCUAUUCGCUUAACUUCGAAGUUCCAAUGGAACUCGAAGCCAGUGAGUUCCCAAAAGACCUCGUGCUAGGUAGAGAUGGGAAUAUACAUAUAAGGCUUACAGGAUCCACUUAUUUGGGCAAUGUGGGAUAUGUUACAAUCCACCCCCCUUAGGGACCCAACGUCUUCGUCGGCACACUACCGGUCAGGGAUUGGCUCUAAUACCAAAUUGUCAUAUCCCAGCCUGGACCCCUACCACAUCUCGGGCUCAACUCUACCGUAGCACGAUAUUGUCUGCUUUGGGCCCCGAGCACGCCCUCACGGUUUUGUUUCUGAGAACUUACACGAGAACUUCCCAGUGGAUCACCCAUCAUGGGAGUGCUCUCAUGCGCUACUCGCUUAACUUCGAAGUUCCAAUAGAACCCGAAGCAAGUGAGCUCCCAAAAGGUCUCGUGCUAGGUAAGGAUGGGAAUAUACAUUUAAGGAUCACUCCCCUGGGCGAUAUGGGAUGUUACAUGGAGUGUCAAUAAUAAUUUCCUUUGUGGUAUUGCAUAUUUUGUCCUGAAACAACUUUAGAGAAAUAUUCAAGUUUUCUUAAGACAGGAAUAAGAAAAAAUUAUAACUUAUUACAAUGUGAAGUUCAUUCCUAUUAAUAAUUGGUCUUAAGUUAAGACCAUAUUUUUUUGUGACUUGAGAUUAUUUCUUUAUAAAGUAUUACUUUAGAAAUGUUUUACUGUAGUUUAAGCGGUUUUAUUAAAAACGCUUUUAUUAAAAGAAAAUCAAAGCUUUUAUUUACAAAACCCAAGUGCACUUUUAUAUUUUCGACCAAAACUUUAUGAUCAUAUCACUGACAAAUUUUCAUUCCCCCAAGAGUGUUAGAUUGUAAUUAUUUUAGGAGACAGAUUGUCUGCCCUUUUGUUUGGGUGCUCUCCCCAUCCUCUUUUAUUUGUGUUGUCACGGUUAAGCCACGUCAACAUUUUAUAUUCUUAUUGUUUUUUGUCUUAUUAUUUCUAUAAGAGAAUUAAUAUAAAAUGUUAACGUGGCUUAACCGUGAUCGCACAAAAUAGAAAGGGAUGAGAAGGGCACCCAAACAGGAGGACAUACAAUCUGUCUCCAUUAUUUUAAAUGCACUUUCUGUAAAACCAUUUUGUGAAUGACAAUGAAUUAUGCCGAGAAUAAUUGAGGGAAUAUUGACUUGGCAAUCAAGUUAAUAAAAUCUCUAGGACUCUCAGUGCCUUAAGGAAAUAAACAUAUUGGAGUCCUAAUUACAUGCAAUCAAUUAAGGGCCUUUAUUAAGUAAAUACAAGGAAUAAGAGUCAUGAUGGGACUAUAAUUGAUGAGAUAUGAUUUGGGUUGAUAUCCUUUCCGAUAAUAGGGAGGAAUUGAUUGAAACCCUAGCUAUAUAACCUAGGGGCCGUCCCUGCUUCCAUACCGAUAGAAACUCACGAAAACUAUAAGCCUAUUUCGAUAGUAGAGUUCAUUCAGAGGUACUGGAAGUAGAAGACUGCUUCUACUUUGUUCGCAAGGAUCAAUGGCUUCACCUUCAUAACCAUGUCUUCCGAAUUCUACAUAUAAGUUCAAUAUAAUUAGUUGAUCUCUAUUUCAUAUUGAUUUGAUUUAUUCGUGAUCCUAAUGUCUUGUUGUUAUGAUUUCAGAAUAUGUCUUACACUUUCAACUUUCAAAAAGGCUUUUACCUCAUGAGUUGUCAUCUCACCCGUAUUCAAGUUUAAGGAGCUGGCUCUCUAUUUAACUAUCCAGCCCAACCGUCCAAGUAUCCAAGUCAAGCUCACAUUAUGUUUCUCAUUCUCGUUACACGUAAUGCCCAUAGGUAUUGGAAAUGAAAUUUCGCCCAAUCAACAAAAAAAACCAAUUUUUAAAAUGGGUAGUAGCUCCACGCCAGUUGUUCGACCAUAAACAUUAAGGGGUAUCGAGCAUUUUAGUACACCAGGGCAAGACCCUAUGGAACUUGAAUGCAAGAAAUCCUCUUUAUGUAUGUGUUUUCAGUCGGACGGCUAACAUGGAAUGGAAGUUGAAGAAUCUCUCCUUGCCUAGGUAGAUGUAACAUUGAAAUAAUUUUGUGCCAAAACAUCAAUGAAUCAUGACGCUAAUGUAACACAAGCAUAACUUUCUCUACAUACUAAAGAUUAUAUUACUUUUUCACUGUCCAUCUAUAACUCAGUAAAUACUAAGUGUGAAGAAGAACUACAUGGAUUUCAGAGUACAAAGGGUGUAACCAGAGAUGAGGGAGCUGGAGGCAAGGGCAAUAAAGGCAAAGAAGGACAAUGUGACGGAUGCCCGAGCCAUGUCCGGGAGCUUGUCUUUGCCCCAAUUCGACUCCCAGUCGUCGACCCGAAUCGCAGCCGAUGAAGACGCCGACAUCAAAAGGUACGUCAAAAUCUGCAACGCCAACCAAAACCAUUCAACUUAAGAUUUAUAUUAGGGUUGUUUUAUUGGCACCCCCACAAUCUUAUAAAUACACCCCACACUUAAAAUUGUCCUUUUAAAUUCCAAUUUUAGUCCUACUUCUACUGAAACCACCCCACCUGUUCAAAACGACAAUAACGUUUCAUCUUUUAAAUUCCAAUUUUAUUGGCACCUCAUCUUCCCCACCCUCUUCCCUCCCUAUCGUUCUGCGAGGCCUUUGACAGUUUGUAGAAACUGCAAUUUCAGACUCCAUACUCAAGGAUGUCUACUUGAUGGCUAUGGGCACAAAAACAUAUGGAAAGUGCUUCUGUAAUAUAACGUCGCAUAUGUUUGGGUAAAUAAAGUUAUCAAGACCAUCUUCUUAUAACAAUUGAAUUAUUGAGAGCAAUGAAAUUUGUUAAUGGUGGUCCAUGUUGUUUGGCUGUCACUAAGGGAAUACCUGGUGCAUUUGUGGUGCUGGGUUUUUUUUUUUUUUGUUUCUUUUUCAUAUUUAAAUAAGGAUAAAAGAGGUAGUUCAACAAGAAUUCAAAAAAUGUAACACCCGCCCCCUAAUUAUAAAGAUAUAUGUUUGUAAUUAUCCCUAAAUGUUUUAAAUAUAUCAAUUUCAUCCUUUUUGUCUACCAAAUCAGGAUCCAAAGCAUUGGAUCCCUUUCUUUCUAAAUUUGCCACGUGGCAGCACCCCAAGCAAUUUCUCCUUCUUCUCUCUCUGUACCCCCGUGAACCGCCUUCCUUCUUCUUCUUCUUUUUUUUGUCUGUCCCGUCUCUUUCUCCCUCUUGGAAUCUCUCAUUUCUCUCGCUCUCUUUAGUUAAUCACACACACCCACACACUGAGGCGCACGCAUGCUCGGAUGAGCCAUUUCCAUCAUCAUCUUGUCCUGCUCUCUCUCUCUCUCUCCCUCUCGUUCCCGCGAUGCCAGAAAACCAGAAAAGAAGCUCCGACGAGAUUUUUCAAUCUCUAGUUAGGUAAGCCUCUAAUUCUCUCUUUUCGUCCUUGAUUCUUGCGAGAUUGAGGUUUAAUUGGAGUUAUUUUGUGAUUUUUGGAAGUUUUUAGGACGAAUCGAACCCGGGUGUAAACACCCCCAUUUUCGGCGAGCCGUGGGUGUCGAGGGACUCUCCAGCCAUCUCCAGCCGUUCCACGACGAAAGGAAGGUAUAGAAAUACUCCCCCCGUCUUGCUCUUCGUUUUGAUACCUAGAUCAGGGUCUAGGUUUGUGUGUGGUGGUCAGCCGGAGCUGUUGAAGCUUCGGUGGUUGUGCUCCGGCGAGACCAGGCCUUCCAGGCCGGUUCCAAUGUCAAGCGGACCUUAGGCCCGUGUGGGGAGUUAGCCCAAAUCCUAACCCAUUUCCUUUUAAUUGUUUUUAGUUUUUUUUUAUUAGUUGUUUAGGACCUUAAGGCUUUCGGGCCAUUAGGAUUAGGGCAUGUAGCCCUGUAGCCCAACCCAAAAACCUUUUUAAGGUUUUUAUUUAAUUUUAUUUUCUGUUUUAGGAAAUAAAGCCUUGGGCCAAUUAUAAAGUAGGCUUUCAGCCAUUUUCCCAAAUCCCUUGAGCUUUAGUUAAAACCCAAAACCCCUAAGGCCCUUUCAGCCCAACCCAAUCCAAGCCCAAUCUAACUUUGACCUUGACCAGUUGACACUGACUGUUGACUUGGUCAACGGUCAGAGUUGAAUUUGACUUUGACCAGUCAACGGUCAACGUUGACUUUUUGAGUUGACUUUUUUGGGUUUCGUCCAGGACCUCUCCUAGGCUAAUUUCAACGUUCUAAACCCGUUUUUUAAGUCCGUUUUCCCAAAUUCAAUCGUUUGAAUAGAGUUUGACUAAAGGUACUCCUUUAUGUGAAUAGGUGCAAUUAUUAGCGGUGAUUCCACUAUACCUUUUUGGUACAGCUUUGCACCAUCGGUGUACGGUGAGUGGACCCCUUCUAAAAUGCAUGUUUUGAUAGUAGAAAUGCAUACAUGAAAGCAUGAUUUAACAAUUAUGUUUUAUGAGACGCUUUGAGAUAACAUGCUUACUAAGGCUAGUUUGAAUUAUUACUAUUUUUCCUAUAACCCAUGUUCUUAUAGAAUAUCCGAUGGAUGACGAUAUGAUAUUUAGAACAUGUUUCGAACACCUCUUUAUAGUAUAGAUGAUGGAUGACUUUAUACUAUGAAAUUGCUUUUCAAUAUAUAUAUAUGUUCAGUGGUUUUGUACUUACCUAGUCGUCAUUUCUGCUACGGGACGUAGGGAUAGAUUCUAGUCCAUCCCGGGCGACGGUUUGGUGUUGGCAUAGGGCCUGGAGUGUGUUUCCUCUGGCUAUUUAGCACAGGGACAGGGAGCCGACAUGGGGCCUGAAGUGUAUUUUCCUCUGACUGUCUGCUUAGAGACGGGGAGCCGGCAUGGGGCCUGGGGGUUAUCAGACAAUUCACUAGUGAUUAUUAUAUUUACAAGUUAUGAUUUGAGACAUUGCACAACAUUCUAGGUUUCGGAAAACCUAUGUUUAUCAUUAUAUAUGUGUUUUCAUAAAACCUGGGGGUUAGUAUGUUGAUAACUGUUUUAUUAUAUCUAUAUCAAAUUGGUCCACUCAUGUUUGUUUUGCGCCCCCUUCAGGACUUAGAAUCGAGGCGUACAAUCCCGGCAUCCAGGCAUUUCCGCAUCAGUAUCUUCGAGUCCUCUUGGUGUGGGACCCAUUCUUUUAUUCAUUAAAUUUUAUAUUAUUUCUUUUAGUAUUCUAGUUCGUCGUAUGCUCUGAACAUGUUCCUUAAAUGCAUAUUCUUUAUUCUUUUAUAUUUAUAAACCUUAUUUAUUCCUUAUUCUCAGCAUUUGCAUUCAAUUAAUGGCUUUCGUCACCCUUGGGUGUCGGCCAACACGUGCUUAUCUUGGUAUUCGAGGAAUAUCGGGAUCGAGGCGUGUCAAAAAAAAUGGGGUGUAUUCAUAAGAUUGUGGGGAUGUGAAUAAAAAAACCCGUUAAAUUACACGACAUAACAGAGGAUAGAGCAAGUAAACAGAAUGCAGAAUUCCAAUAUGCAUGCUUUAAGAUAUUCUAAACAGAGAAUCCUUUAACAAGAGGGAUCCCCAUUUUUCUAAAAAAAUGGGAACAUCCUCAUGACCGUUGGAUAUGACUUUAAUGAAAUUGUGUGGUUGAGAUUGUGUGGCCUGUGAUUUAAUCUCAACCACACAAUUUCAUUAAAGUCAAUCUAAAGGUCAGGAAGGUGUUCCCAUUUUUUUAGAAAAAUGGGGAUCCCUCUUGUUAAAGGGCAUGUUCUAAACAGUAUUUAACACAAAUGGAAAAGUAGAAGGGUGGUGAUAUCCACGUACUCUUUUUUAUCUUUCACACACACUCUCAAUUUUGAGUCGUUUGAUUGAAUGAAUUGAAGAGCAUUAAAGAACAAAAAUUAAUUGAGGAUGUGUGGGACGUAAAAAAAAAUGUGAAUAACACCGCCCAAGUAGAAUCAUUAAUGGAAAAAAAGGCUAGUUAAAAAGUAUCAAAAAGGUGGAAUAAAUAAAAAGGUCAAGAACCAAUUGAAGCAAAAGUAUCUACUGAUGCAUAACCAUAUAAACAAAAGGAAAACUAAUGAAAAUAAUUUGAAAAUUUUGAGUUUUAACGAUAAGGAAUAGUGAAGUGAAUAGUAUCAUAAUUGACUUUUUAGUGUAAAAAUAUUGUUUUUUGUAAGUAUCCUUAGAAGUAACUUUGUAAGUAUCUUAUCGUUUAUUAAAAAAUAACACAUAAAUAUAAAGAUCCGCAAUAUAUCAUAGGAUUUUGAAGAACUGUAAGUGGGAGUACAUCCGCUUUAACCAAUGCCGGUGUUAAAGCUAAAAAACACAGCAAUGAGCAAGGAGGGAGAAAACACACUGCAAACUAGCCAAACUAGAAGCACUAUAUAAAUACACAUAACAUUGCGCCCUUAUUACAAGACUUUCAAACAAGCGGGCAGCAGGAUACAAGAAUAUCACACACGAACAUUUUGCAAGCCUGAACUAGUACUCUCUAUUAUCUCAUGGGAUGGGAUACACAACCACCUUUCCAGGAGCUCUGGAGGUUUCAAGAUAGGCAAAUGCUUCAACAGUCUUCGAAAAUGGAUAUGGGCCGCUGGGAUCAAGCACCGGGUUCACCUUCCCACUCUCCAAGUAAGGCUUCAGUUUCUCUAAUACAGUUCCGGUUGAGGUCAGCAAAAAUAGGAAUGCCGGUGGCGCUACUGGACGUACAAUUGUCAAUACCUUCCCGCCUUCCUUCACCGCCUUCACUGCCCUGUCAGUCUCCCCUAUUUUUGUUAAUUUCAGAAACACAAAACAACAUCAGUCCUUGUGUUUGAUUUGUAUAAAAAAAAACAACGAUGAAGAUUCAAGAAUUAUACCAACUGCAUUAUAAACCACAUCAAAUUUCUCGGUCAG